ACUCCUAUUUUAUCACCAUUUUUGAAUGUCUGAAUACUGUUAAUGGCGGCUCUUACUUAAAAAACGACAGCAAAUAGCGCAGAACCUGCAGGCAAACACCAAUGUAACAACGGCCUUGGAAUACAAUAGAUAAAGGUUCCCUUCUUUCCUUUUCAAACAAUAAAUUCUCACAUAUCUUACAUUCCCAUUGGAAUUCUUCUUUUAAACAUCUAAAUAGAAUGCUGUUACAGAAUGGCGGCAAUCACUCAAAGAACAACAACUGAAAUCGGCCGUUAAAAAGCAAACUGACGGCGGCGGCAAAAAUCACAAAGCCAACAGCUGUCAUGGACUCACAUUCUCUCAUCCGUUUUGCUAAUGCCAUUCUCUCUCUCUCUCACUUGCAUCGACAAAUCGAAAUAAUCGAUUAGUCGCAACGAUAAGUCCAAAGUCGACGUAGGCAUCCCAUCUCUUUACAGUUUUACAAAGUUUACAGCUGUUGUAGACGCCAAGCGCGAUUUUUUAUGCAAAAGCAACAUAAAACAAACAGCAUUAUGUGUGCAUAUUUUUUUAAACUUUUUUAAAUAAAAGAUUAAAAUCAAAAAAGUAAAAAACAAAAAAAAAAAAUGUAAAAGAAAAAAUAAUCCUUCGUCCCAGCAACAUAAAACGCAUUGCAAAUAAGUAACAAAAAAAUCACGAAAAAGUUUUAAACAAAUGACAAACCAAAUAACUCGUAAAUAAAGUCGUCGUAUUUAAACAAAUAGUGUACCCAUCGAAAUUGAACAUCAACAUCAACAAGAACUAAGGCAACAACAACCACAACAUCAAUUACAUUUAAAAUCAAAUAAUAAAAAAUCUCUAUGUUUACAUCUUCCACCAUCUGACCAAUUGCAGCUGAAAACAAUCACCGAAACGAAUUUCCAUUAACCAAAAACCAAACAAAAAAUAAGAAAACAAAAAAAAAACAAAAUUAACAAAAGAAUAAAAUGAGUGUUACAAAACUUAGAAACAAAACCUAACAAUUAAAACCAAAUAAUUCCUCCCCCACAAAAAAAUAUAUUUUCCUGUGUACUAGAGCGCCAUCUACACAAUAGUGUUGUUAAGUGUUGUGAUAAAUGGGUAAAAAAAGAGAAUGUUUUUGAGAGAUAGGUAAUUAUGUGAAAAAAGUGAUUUGCCUCAGAGAUUUCAAGAAGAGAACUGAGAACCAGUUUUGUUUUUAUACUCCUUGGGAAUUCCCUUCUUUCUACAACGUUCGUUCAUAACUGUGUGUUUGUGUCACGACAUUGCCAAACAACGUCAGCAGCAUCAAUGUAGCCGUAAAUGUGACGAACCAAAAGUAUUGACAAACAAAAGUAAAACAACAGCAGCAGCAGCAACAACCACACAGGGAAAUUGCCCCCAACACAGCAGAGCAGAGCAAACAUCUGUUUCGACCUCUAUAUAACUUUCUUUUUUUGUUUUUGUUUUCCUCCAUACUCCACACAAUACAUAUAGAUUUUCCCUUUACUCUCCCGUCCUACCUCUCUUUUUGCUACUGCCUUUCGUUUUGCUUUUCUUGUGUGGUGGCUCCAAUUGUUAUUGUUCUUCAAAUCCAAAUCCAACCAUCCAAACAUUUUGUCGAGAGCGAGAGAGAGAGAGCGAAAGGAGAACAAGAAUUGAAUAUAAACAAAACAACAAUAACAGUGACAUGCCCCCCCCUUUUGUUGUUGUUGAUGUGGUUGGUUAACAGAAGUCAACGUCGGAGUACACUUUGAUUUGACAUGUCUUUUGUGUGAGUGUGAAUAAGUGAAGGCACAACAAUCUAACCAUCAGAAGAGAGAUAGUAGAGCAAACCCCCCAACCAUAAAGACAGACAGCCAGCAGUGUUGACAGCAACAUCGCCGCCAUCUUCAUCAUCAUAAUCGGGUGCAAUAAAAGUAAGAAACCAUUGCUGCGAUUAUUGCCAUAUCAGCUAUCAGUUGGCAAACCUCUUCCAAUCCCUCCGAGACACCUUUGCCAACUCCUCUGCUUAAUGAGUACACACCAAUCACUUUUGUAGUGUCAGAGUCGUCGGGUGUUAUCGUUUUCCGAUAUUAAGAUGAGUUGUUAUUGUUGUUGAUGGAUUCGACGACUAGUGCAGUGCAUCAACCAGCCACCAGUCACACUCACUUUAGCCGACAACAAACAGUAACAAGAGCCUCCUCGGCCUGAUGAUGUGCAGAGUUUUCCAUGCGAUUUGCACGUUUUAAUACUCGACAAUAACAAAGCCGCAGUACCAUCACCACCACCACCACUAGCAGCAGCAUCAGCAACCAUCGCAAGUAGCUCGGAAUCAACGGACCGUAAAGAAAUUAAACAGCCAGCAGCCAUCCAUCCAGCCCAGCCUAGCCAGCCAUCAAACAUAAACAAAGCGCAACAAACGCGGCAACUAAAUGCACUUCACUUGGCCACCAGCAGCACCCAUCAUUAUUAUCCCCAUUAUCAUCAUCUGUCUUGCCAUCGGCAGCAUCAUCAACGGCGGCCGGCCAACAUCAGCAAUAAUAACAUCUGCAGCAAUUGCAACAGUUUUCUAAAGAAACCUCAAAACAAAACGCAAAAACAACAAACAAAAGAGAAAGAAAUAAAGAAAAGAAAAAAAAAAAACGAAACAAAUCAAAUCAAACACACAACACAUCCACUCAAACCUCUUCUCUGGGCAGGCAGGCAGCGAACGAACGAACUAACGAACAUCAAGUAAACCAACCGGCAAAGACUGUGAACUCUCCCCGCCGUUCUUUCCCCCCUCACCCCCUCCACAACCACUACUUGUGUGCAGACAGAUAAUAAAAGAAAAGCAAAGAAAAGAAACCAAAACCGAAACGAAUGUAGCAAAAAACAGGAAUAUAAAGAAAAGAAAAACAAAAUACCUACCUAGUAUAUAUUAAUACAAAAAAACAACAGCAACAAGAAAACGAAGACGACGACGA